ensembl:lncRNA
GACAACCAGCAGCCAUGCUGCUGUCCCCCUCAAAGGACCUCCACACAGGGAGCAUCCUCAGACCCAGGCUUCCCUCAGAUGGGAAAGAUUUCAGACCAUCCAAAGGAAAAAGGAAUGAAUGUGUUUUCCUUUAACCGAUGAUCCUGAAGCCAGUUUCCUUCACAGCAGCCUUUUAUCUCCCACAUAGACAACUCUCUCCUGCAUGCCUACCCAUGGCAUUGCUUAACAAAGAGCGCCACCCCAUGUCUUGCUAGAAGAAAUGCAAAUAUGGCUGAGUGCAGAUGUACCAGCUGCAGACACCCCAACACCUGCCUUGAAACAGGUAUGAGCAGAUAGCAGUAUUGCCAGGCACCAGGAGUUCCGAUCCAUGGCUUAAAGGGCACUUCUUAGCUGAAC